ACAGUCGUGGCCGAGCGGUUAAGGCGAUGGGCUAGAAAUCCAUUGGGGUCUCCCCGCACAGGUUCGAAUCCUGUCGACGGAC
rfam:Ixodes scapularis strain Wikel colony gcontig_1107729029460, whole genome shotgun sequence.